UACAGGGGGGGCAAGCGUUGUUCGGAAUUACUGGGCGUAAAGGGCUCGUAGGCGGCCAACUAAGUCCGACGUGAAAUCCCAAAGCUUAACUUUGGAACUGCGUCGGAUACUGGAUGGCUUGAAUUCGGGAGAGGGAUGCAGAAUUCCAGGUGUAGCGGUGAAAUGCGUAGAUAUCUGGAGGAAUACCGGUGGCGAAGGCGGGUCUCUGGACAGUUCCUGACACUGAGGCACGAAGGCCAGGGGAGCAAACGGG
rnacentral:rRNA from 1 species